rnacentral:rRNA from 1 species
ACUGCUAUCGGAUUGGUACUAAGCCAUGUGAGUCAUUGUAGCAAUACAAGGCAGACGGCUCAGUAACACGUAGUCAAUCUACCCUAUGGACGGGGAUAACCUCGGGAAACUGAGGAUAAACCCCGAUAGAUCAUAAUUCCUGGAAUGGUUUAUGGUUCAAACGAUUCGUCGCCGUAGGAUGGGACUGCGGCCUAUCAGCUUGUUGGUGAGGUAAUGGCCCACCAAGGCUAUUACAGGUACGGGCUCUGAGAGGAGAAGCCCGGAGAUGGGUACUGGGACACGGACCCAGGCCCUAUGGGGCGCAGCAGGCGAGAAACCUUUGCAAUGUGCGCAAGCACGACAAGGUUAAUCCGAGUGUUUCCUGCUAAAGGAAUCUUUUGUUAGUUCUAAAACCACUAAUGAAUAAGGGGUGGGCAAGUUCUGGUGUCAGCCGCCGCGGUAAAACCAGCACCUCAAGUGGUCAGGAGGAUUAUUGGGCCUAAAGCAUCCGUAGCCUGUUCUAUAAGUUUCCGGUUAAAUCCAUUAGCUCAACUAAUGGGCUGCCGGAAAAACUGUAGAACUAGGGAGUGGGAGAGGUAGACGGUACUCGGUAGGAAGGGGUAAAAUCCUUUGAUCUAUUGAUGACCACCUGUGGCGAAGGCGGUCUACCAGAACACGUUCGACGGUGAGGGAUGAAAGCUGGGGGAGCAAACCGGAUUAGAUACCCGGGUAGUCCCAGCUGUAAACGAUGCAGACUCGGUGAUGCCCUGGCUUGUGGCCAGUGCAGUGCCGCAGGGAAGCCGUUAAGUUUGCCGCCUGGGAAGUACGUACGCAAGUAUGAAACUUAAGGGAAUUGGCGGGGGAGCACCACAAGGGGUGAAG